AUGCGGGUGGGGAAAUCACCCAGACAUACCCCACAAACACACACCAAACGCUGCGGACAGAGAUUAUCACCACAGCAGGAGGGAGGGCUGUUUCCUGAGCCAGCAGGGAGCUCUGAUGGCGGAGGACACUGUGUUCUGAGACCUCUCCACCGAGCGGAGGACUCGGUUUCGCCUCUCAUCCUACGUGGCAGGGUAUCGCGGUGUAGCGGUUACAAACGUACGAACACUGGAAUAGGACAGAUCAAUCCCACUGCCUCGUACCAAGUGCCCCGGCCCCAGGAACCAGGGAGAAAAAUGGAGCUCCCGAUGACCACUCUGGUCACACUCUUCCUGCCCCCACCAAGCCCACAGUUCUCCCUCAGUCUCUGGCACCUGCAGGGUGCUACAUUCUGCUGCCCCCAUGCUGAGCCUUGUCAUAGUGUGUACGUGAGAAUGAAGGGACGGCGAGGGCAUGGGGCGGACUGCAACUUUGACCCGGAGUUCUCGGCAGAAGAUCCUGCCCCCGCUGGAAGUGUGCUGAGCAAACCUUCUUGUCCCAAGUGUCCCCUGCCCCCAACAAGACCAUGA
rnacentral:lncRNA from 1 species